UUGAGUAGAAAUUAGAUGGAUGAAAAGGGUAAUUAGUGAAACUAAAAAUGAAUUAAGAAAAAGAAGAAAGAAAUUGGCAUGUGGAAGUGUAAGAGAGAAAGUAGGAACUGCAAAUGAUAAUAUAAAGAUGAAAGAGGAAAAAUUUAGGGUUAUUAAAGCGAAAUAUGCAGAUGCGUGAGGAGAUUCACGUGUGUAGAAGGAUUUUUGGUUACUUUUUACCGUAAGGCGUGUUAAAUAAAGUUAAGUCGCAGCUUACCCAAAACCUUGUUAGCCCUACAAAUAUAGCCCAUGCCAUACCUCAUUUGGGCUUCAACGCUACGUACUCAAACAUCCUUUUGUUUUUACCCUAAAUUAC
rnacentral:lncRNA from 1 species